rnacentral:lncRNA from 1 species
GGGCAUACGACGGAGAUGUGUAAUGAUCUAAAGGAUUUGAUAGAGAAGAAUGUUCAGAAUGGGCAAUUGGUACAGUAUGUGGUCGGCCGAGAAGGUUCAGAAAUGCCUCGGGAGGAAAAUAGAGGGCCGGCUCGAGAUACACAGUCAAAACCGAACCAGCCACCUCAAGGUGUGAUUGAUGUACUUUCAGGCGGUUCGGUAGGAUGUGUAACAGGAAAGAAGAGAAGCGGACAUCUCGAGGCCGUGUUGUCAGUAGCAAGUUCCUCACCACGAAAAGAUCAGGCCUACCUGGGAGUAUCCAUCUCAUU